UCACUGGUGGAACCGUUGUCGAAGUGUGUGUCGAAUGUAGAGUCGAAGUUGCUUCUUGUCGUUGCUUGGCAUUGUUGUCAGUAUCUCUGUUGCCGGUUAAAUCGACGAAAUUGAUAUUACUUAUGAGUGAGAAAUAAGCGAAAUAUUUUUGGAAAGGAUUGGAUCAAACGGAACUGCAUUUAAUAUGUCUGAUGAGGAAGUGAUACGCCGUCGACUUCUCAUAGAUGGAGAUGGAACAGGUGAUGAUCGAAGGAUAAACGUUUUAUUAAAAUCGUUUAUAAAAUGGACCAAUUCUCCAGACCCAGAUAACACUUUGUUUGAGAGAAUGUUAUCGCAACUGGCCCAAUGUGAAUUUGCCCAGAGAAAAUCACGUCUUGUGUCUAGCAUGAGCCAGGAAGAAUUGAAAAGUUACGAAAAGAUGUCCAAAGCUAUUGAAAUUCAAAUAGAAGAGGCUAAAAAAGAUAUUGAGAAAACAAAAAUUGAGCUCCAAGAAGCAAAGCGUGUUCGUAAAAAUAGAAUAGAAUAUGAUGUUCUGGCCAAAGUUAUUAAUGAACAACCUGAUAGACUAGAAACGGAUGUGAAACUUGCUACGCUAAGAAAAGAGUUGGAAACUUUGAAGGAAAAGUCAGAACAAUUAGAACAUAAGCUGGAGAUGCGUAGGAAACAAUUUCAUGUUGUGACAUCAUCAAUUCAUUCUUUGCAAGAAAUGUUAGACCAAUCGGAUGAAGAAAUAAUGGAUGUCAGUCUAGAGAAUUACGAGGAUGUAGACGUAUCAAUGUCCCCAAAAACUGUGGCUUGAAACAGUAUCGCUGUUUCUUUCGGCAAUCGAAUGCAAAUAGUUGUGGUAUAAGUCCUUUUCUAAAAUGAGAAGACUUCGUCUUUCAAGGAGCAAACUGAAUUCAAGAACAGAUACUUACAAGUUGAUCAGAUGUAUUCCGUCUGUAAAAAUCCAAGAACGUAUGCGAACCACAGCUUAUCGUUGUGACAAUGGGGUGAAACAAUGGACCAUCUGAGUGUGGCUGUGUAAAGAAAUUUUUCUAUUGUAGAGAAAUCAGAAGACAGGUUGGUGUCAAGUGAUUUUAUCCCCGGAUAGUAUGCAUUAAAUUUCACUUAUAAUUUGCAUUUAAUGACAACGACUUUGCAACAAAUUUACUUUCUGUAAAUGAACACUGAAAUACACUUGAAUCGUGCUGAUAA